rnacentral:rRNA from 1 species
UGGGGAAUUUUGGACAAUGGGCGAAAGCCUGAUCCAGCAAUGCCGCGUGCGUGAAGAAGGCCUUCGGGUUGUAAAGCACUUUUGUCCGGAAAGAAAUGGCUCUGGUUAAUACCUGGGGUCGAUGACGGUACCGGAAGAAUAAGGACCGGCUAACUACGUGCCAGCAGCCGCGGUAAUAUGUAGGGUCCAAGCGUUAAUCGGAAUUACUGGGCGUAAAGCGUGAGCAGGCGGUUGUGCAAGACCGAUGUGAAAUCCCCGAGCUUAACUUGGGAAUUGCAUUGGUGACUGCACGGCUAGAGUGUGUCAGAGGGGGGUAGAAUUCCACGUGUAGCAGUGAAAUGCGUAGAGAUGUGGAGGAAUACCGAUGGCGAAGGCAGCCCCCUGGGAUAACACUGACGCUCAUGCACGAAAGCGUGGGGAGCAAACA